AAGGUAGCAUAAUAAUUUCCCUUUUAAUUAAAGGCUUGUAUGAACGAUUAGACGGGGUUUAGCUAUUCCAGAUCAUUUAAAAAAUUAUCUUUGUGUAAAAAUACACAAUAUUUAUCUAGGGACGAUAAGACCCUAUAAAGUUUCACUGUUUUACAGAAAGGUAAGGUAUAACACUGACCACAGUUUAACUGGGGCGGUUAGUUUAUAAAACCUAUACUGCGCAUAUCCGGCUCAUGCCGAUAUAAAAGACCCUUAUGGAGAAUAAGAUCAAACUACUUUAGGGAUAACAGCAUAAUUCCUUUUAGAGUCCUUAUCGAAAAAGGAGCUUAUGACCUCGAUGUUGAAUUAGGAUUAAGGUAUGGCGCAGAAGCUUGUCCGUUAGAUCUGUUCGAUCUAUACUUUCCUACAUGAUCUGAGUUCAAACCGGAGAG
rnacentral:rRNA from 1 species